UACGUAGGUGGCAAGCGUUGUCCGGAUUUACUGGGCGUAAAGAGCGCGCAGGCGGUCGUUCAAGUCGCGUGUGAAAGCCCCCGGCUCAACUGGGGAGGGUCACGCGAUACUGAUCGACUCGAAGGCAGGAGAGGGUAGUGGAAUUCCCGGUGUAGUGGUGAAAUGCGUAGAUAUCGGGAGGAACACCGAUGGCGAAGGCAGUGUUCUGGGCCGAAACUGACGCUGAGGAGCGAAAGCGUGGGGAGCGAACAGG
rnacentral:rRNA from 1 species